GGAAUAUUGGGCAAUGGGCGAAAGCCUGACCCAGCAACGCCGCGUGAAGGAAGAAGGUUUUCGGAUCGUAAACUUCUGUCCUUGGUGAAGAUAAUGACGGUAGCCAAGGAGGAAGCCCCGGCUAACUACGUGCCAGCAGCCGCGGUAAUACGUAGGGGGCGAGCGUUGUCCGGAAUGAUUGGGCGUAAAGGGCGCGUAGGCGGCCUGUUAAGUCUGGAGUGAAAGUCCUGUUUUCAAGAUGGGAAUUGCUUUGGAUACUGAUGGGCUUGAGUGCCGGACAGGUUAUCGGAAUUCCCGGUGUAGCGGUGAAAUGCGUAGAGAUCGGGAGGAACACCAGUGGGGAAGGCGGGUAACUGGAGUGCAACUGACGCUGAGGCGCGAAAGUGUGGGGAGCAAACA
rnacentral:rRNA from 1 species